GAUGAACGCUGGCGGCGUGCCUAAUACAUGCAAGUCGAGCGAACAGACGAGGAGCUUGCUCCUCGGACGUUAGCGGCGGACGGGUGAGUAACACGUGGAUAACCUACCUAUAAGACUGGGAUAACUUCGGGAAACCGGAUCUAAUACCGGAUAAUAUAUUGAACCGCAUGGUUCAAUAGUGAAAGACGGUUUUGCUGUCACUUAUAGAUGAAUCCGCGUCGCAUUAGAUAGUUGGUAAGGUAACGGCUUACCAAGGCAACGAAGCGUAGCCGACCUGAGAGGGGGAUCGGCCACACUGGAGCUGAGACAGGGUCCAUACGCCUACGGGAGGCAGCAGUAGGGAACGGUCCGCAAUGGGCGAAAGCCUGACGGAGCAACGCCGCGUGAGUGAUGAAGGUGUUCGGAUCGUAAAACUCUGUUAUGAGGGAAGAACAAAUGUGUAAGUAACUAUGCACGUCUUGACGGUACCUAAUCAGAAAGCCACGGCUAACUACGUG
rnacentral:rRNA from 1 species